rnacentral:tRNA from 1 species
GGUCCCGUAGCUCAGCAGGAUAGAGCAGCGGUUUCCUAAACCGAAGGUCGGGGGUUCGACUCCCUCCGGGACCGCCA